rnacentral:rRNA from 1 species
UCGAACGCUGAAGCCUGGUGCUUGCACCGGGUGGAUGAGUGGCGAACGGGUGAGUAACACGUGAGUAACCUGCCCCUGACUUCGGGAUAAGCCCGGGAAACUGGGUCUAAUACCGGAUACGACUGCCGGACGCAUGUCUGGUGGUGGAAAGUUUUUUCGGUUGGGGAUGGGCUCGCGGCCUAUCAGUUUGUUGGUGAGGUAAUGGCUCACCAAGACGACGACGGGUAGCCGGCCUGAGAGGGCGACCGGCCACACUGGGACUGAGACACGGCCCAGACUCCUACGGGAGGCAGCAGUGGGGAAUAUUGCACAAUGGGGGAAACCCUGAUGCAGCGACGCAGCGUGCGGGAUGACGGCCUUCGGGUUGUAAACCGCUUUCAGCAGGGAAGAAGCGCAAGUGACGGUACCUGCAGAAGAAGUACCGGCUAACUACGUGCCAGCAGCCGCGGUAAUACGUAGGGUACGAGCGUUGUCCGGAAUUAUUGGGCGUAAAGAGCUCGUAGGUGGUUGGUCACGUCUGCUGUGGAAACGCAACGCUUAACGUUGCGCGUGCAGUGGGUACGGGCUGACUAGAGUGCAGUAGGGGAGUCUGGAAUUCCUGGUGUAGCGGUGAAAUGCGCAGAUAUCAGGAGGAACACCGGUGGCGAAGGCGGGACUCUGGGCUGUAACUGACACUGAGGAGCGAAAGCAUGGGGAGCGAACAGGAUUAGAUACCCUGGUAGUCCAUGCCGUAAACGUUGGGCACUAGGUGUGGGGGGCAUUCCACGUUCUCCGCGCCGUAGCUAACGCAUUAAGUGCCCCGCCUGGGGAGUACGGUCGCAAGGCUA